rnacentral:lncRNA from 1 species
CCUAGUUCGAGCUCUGGCCUGCUAAGAAAGAAUUCUAGUAUGAAUGUGAAGAUCAAUAGAGCUUUGAAACUCAGAUUAGAGCAGACCAUAGGAGAAGCAGGGGUCAUUGUCGCUGACUGGAUUUAGUACACAGGGAAUGUGUAACCCAGGGUUAUGUUUUAAAAACCAUUCAAUCAGUGGCAUUACUAAUGGUAAUUUUCAUGCACGUCCGUGUGAAGAGACCACCAAACAGGCUUUGUGUGAGCAACAUGGCUGUUUAUUUCACCUGGGUGCAGGCGGGCUGAGUCCAAAAAGAGAGUCAGUGAAGGGAGAUAGGGGUGAGGCCAUUUUAUAGGAUUUGGGAAGGUAAUGGAAAACUACAGUCAAAGGGGGUUGUUCUCUGGUGGGCAGGGGCGGGGGUCACAAGGUGCUCAGUGUGGGAGCUUCUGAGCCAGGAGAAGGAAAUUCACAGGGUUAAUCACUCAGUUAAGGUGGGGCAGGAACAAAUCACAAUGGUGGAAUGUCAUCAGUUAAGGCGGGGCAGGGCCUUUUCAUUUCUUUUGUGAUUCUUCAGUUACUUCAGGCCAUCUGGGCAUAUAUACGUGCAAGUCACAGGGGAUGCAAUGGCUUGGCUUGGGCUCAGAGGCCUGACAUUCCUGCCUUCUUAUAUUAAUAAGAAAAAUAAAACAAAAUAGUGUUGAAGUGGUGGGGCGCCGAAAAUUUCUGGGGGAUGGUAUGGAGAGAGAAUGGACGAUGUUUCUCAGGGCUGCUUCAAGCGGGAUUAGGGGCAGCGUGGGAACCUAGAGUGGGAGAGAUUAAGCUGAAGGAAGAUUUUGUGGUAAGGGGCGAUAUUGUGGGGUUGUUAGAAGAAACAUUUGUCAUUUAGAAUUAUUGGUGAUGGCCUGGAUAUGGUUUUGUAUGAAUUGAAAAACUAAAUGGAAUAAGAGAAGGAGAAAAACAGGUAUAAAAGGUCUAAGAAUUGGGAGGACCUAGAACAUCUGAUUAGAGAGUGCCUAAGGAGAUUCAGCAUAGUCCUGCCAGCAAAGAUUAUGUAUUUACUUCAAGAGUUAAGAGUGGCAGUUUGGGGAUAGCACCAGGAGAUAUCAGCUGUGAUGGCUUGGAGAAACAGUGUAAACCGGCAGUGUAAACAAGAGCAGGGCAUGUAUGAGUAGUUGAGAAUGGAGAAUAGGAGUAUGAAUAGACAGAAAAUAGUAGGGAUGACAAGUUUUUUUGGGGGGCAUAGUCUAAGUUGGUCUGGUGUCUGGAAUGAGACUGGGGCCUAAUAAAAAGGAGCUCAAAUAGGCUGUACCCUGUAGCAUUCUGAGGACAGGUCUGACUUCUGAGAAGGGAAAGUGGUAAAAGUAUUGUCCAGUCCUUUUUAAGUUGGUGGCUGAGCUUGGUGAGGUGUGUUUUUGAAAGACCUUUAGUCCAUUCUACUUUUCCUGAAGAUGGAGGACCAUAAGGGAUAUAAAGGCUUCACUGAAUACUAACAGCCUGAAAAACUGCUUGGCUGAUUUGACUAAUAAAGGCUGGUCUGUUAUCAGACUGUAUAGAGGUGGGAAGGCUAAACUGAGGAAUUAUGUCUGACAGAAGGGAAGAAAUGACUGAGGUGGCCUUCUCAGACCCUGUAGGAAAGGCCUUUACUUAUUCAAUGAAAGUGUCUAUUUAGACUAAGAGGUAUUUUAGUUUCCUGACUCGGGGCAUGUUGAGUAAAGCUAAUUUGCCAGUCCUGGGUGGGGGCAAAUCCUCGAGCUUGAUGUGUAGGGAAGGGAGGGGGCCAGAAUAAUCCAUGAGGAGUAGUAGAAUAGCAGAUGGAACACUGAGAAGUUAUUUCCUUGAGGAUAGAUUUCUACGAUGGAAAGGAAACGAAAGGUUCUAAGAGGUGGGCUAGUGGCUCGUACUAUAGCAUAACCUGCCUUUGCUGUUGUGUGGCGAUUAGGCCUGGUGGAAAUGCCAUCAAUAAAUCAAGCGUGAUCAGGGUGAGGAACAGGAAAGAAGGAAAUAUGGGGAAAUGGGGUGAAUAUCAGGUGGAUCAGAGAGAUACAGUCAUGGGUGUCAGGUGUGGUAUCAGGAAUAAUGUGGGAGGCUGGAUUGAAGUCCAGGCCAGGAACAAUGGUAAUUGUGGGACUUAACAAAGAGUGAGUACAGCAGAAAGUAUAUGCGUCAGGUAUGAGGAAGAAAAUAGAUUUUGGAAGUUAUGAGAACUGUACAGAGUGAGUUGAGCAUAGUUUGUGAUUUUGAGGGCUUCUAAAAGUAUUAAAGCAGUGGCAGCCACUGCACGCAGACGUGAGGGCUAGGCUAAAACAGUAAGGUCAAGUUGUUUGGAAAGAAAGGCUACAGGGUGUGGUCCUGGCUCUUGUGUAAGAAUUCUGACCACACUAACUAUGCCUAGGAAGGAAAGGAGUUGUUUUGUAAGGGAUUGAGGUUUGGGAGAUUAAUCAGACACGAUCAGCAGGGAGAGCACGUGUGUUUUUAUGAGAAUUAUGCUGAGAUAGGUAACAGAUGAGGAUGAAAUUUGGGCUUGACUGAAGUAAUGGGGGCUGUCUGUGAAGCUUUGCAGCAGUACAGCCCAGGUAAUUUGCUGAGCCUAAUGGGUGUCAGGGUCAGUCCAAGUGAAAGCGAAGAGAGGCUGGGAUGAGGGGUGCAAAGGAAUAGUAAAGAAACCAUGUUUGAGAUCUAGAACAGAAUAACAGGUUGUGGAGGGAGGUAUUGAGGAUAGGAGAGUAUAUGGGUUUGGCACCACUGGGUGGAUAGGCAAAACAAUUUGGUUGAUAAGGCAUAGAUCCUGAACUAACUUAUAAGGCUUGUCUGGUUUUAGGACAGGUAAAAUGGGGGAAUUGUAAGGAGAGUUUAUAGGCUUUAAAAGGCCAUGCUGUAGCAGGUGAGUGAUAACAGGCUUUAAUCCUUUUAAAGCGUGCUGUUAGAUGGGAUCUUGACAUUGAGUGGGGUAAGGGUGAUUAGGUUUUAAUGAGAUGGUAAGGGGUGCAUGAUCGGUCACCAAGGAGGGAGUAGAGGUAUCUUAUACUUGUGGGUUAAGGUGGGGAGAUACAAAGGGAGGAUGCAAAGGAGGCUUUGGAUUGGGAAGAAGGCAGCAAUGAGAUGCAGCUGUAGUCCAGGAAUAGUCAGGGAAGCAGAUAAUUUGGUUAAAAUAUCUUGGCCUAAUAAGGGAACUGGGCAGGUGGGGAUAACUAAAAAAGAGUGCUUAAAAGAGUAUUGUCUAAGUUGGCACCAGAGUUGGGGAGUUUUAAGAGGUUUAGAAGCCUGGCCGUCAAUACCCACAACAGUUAUGGAGGCAAGGGAAACAGGCCCUUGAAAAUAAGGUAAUGUGGAGUGGGUAGCCUCCAUAUUGAUUAAGAAGAGAACGGACUUACCCUCCACUGUGAGAGUUACCUAAGCUCAGCGUCCGUGAUGGUCUAUGGGGCUUCCAAGGCGAUCGGGCAGCAUCAGUCUUCAGCCAUUCAGUGGAGAAGAUCUGGGAAGGAGUCAGUCAGAGAGCCUUGGGCCAGAGUUCCAGGGGCUUUGGGAGUGGCUGCCAGGUGAGUUGAACAAUCCGAUUUUCAACGGGGUCCCACACAGAUGGGACGUGGCUUAGGAGGAAUCCCGGGCUGUGGGCAUUCCUUGGCCCAGUGGCCAGAUUUCCGGCAUGUGUAGCAAGCUCCUGGGGGAGGAGGUUCUGGAGGAAUGCCUGGCUGCUGCGGUUCAGGCGUUUGGAAGUUCUUGUGUGCUGGAGAUGUGGCUGGGGUUUGUCUCUCAGUGGAGGCAAGGAAUUGCAACUUUUUUUUUAUUAUUGUACACCUUGAAGGACUGAAAAUAACAGAACUCAGCACCAUGAUCGGACCGGGACAAUCAGAUUAUUUCAUUCCUCAGCAAACGGAGAUCGAUCCGAAAAGUGGAAAUAUGAGCUCUUCUUUGGUGUUGGCAUAUGGACCCUGAGAGAAAGAACUUUAAUUUUUUCUCUUGGACUGCAAUAAAGUAUAGCUGCCUAAAAUACUUUUCCUGACACUUGGAGGUUUGUCCACAAUCGGUGAAAUAAAGGCAAGACGUAACACUGGAUGAAAAAAGAAAAUGAACAAAAAAGAAGCAAGUAUACUGAAAAUGGUGCACAUUGUAUCAUGGUGGCAUUGAAUCCAAGUAGAAUUAGCAGAGGUCCUUCCACCCUGUGAUCACCCCCACUGUCUUUCCCAAGCCCAGGAAUCCCUCUUCCCUUUUUUUCCAUUCCACUAAAUUAUUUUGAGUUACUGUUUUAUAAAAUUGCAUAUAAAAAGUGUUGAUUAAUACAGAAUAGUUAAUAAGGUGAUAUUAUGUUUAAGUAAUUAAUAAGAACAAUAAUAGCUAGUAUUUCGCAAUUGCUGUACAUUAGGGGCUUUUCCAGAGGUUUUAUAAAUGUUAAUUUAAUCUUCACAAUAAACUUAUCAAAAGUUCAAGGCAUAGAGAAGUUAAAUAAAUUGCCUGAGUUUUCAAGGGCAGAGCUGUGAUCUGCCCCCAGGUAUUCUGACCCCCAAACUGGCUCUCAACCAUGUUUACACGAUGAAAAGAAGAGGUGACUGUUGUAUCAGCUCUAAAGGCCUCACUUUUGGUGAAAUGGGACCUAAAUUUGAUUGCAUACUUGAUUACUUGCUGUCAAUACUGAAAUUGGCACUUCAUAAUUUUAAUACUAUUGAACUUUCACCAUAACCCUGUCCUAUAAAGUUGACUUGCAAAUGAAGAAACUCUAUCUCUUCAAUAUUAUAAAAUAUAUCCAAGAGUCACAACUAGUGAGAAAAGGACAGGAUCUAACUAACAAUGUGAGGCUGUGUCUUCACACCAAUUCAACAGAGUAUCUUGUAAAUGUUGAGAGGAGAGGUACUUUAGGUCAUGGGUGUCUUUCAAUAAGUGCUUUAGAAAACAGGUGACAACUGAUUGGGCCUUGAGGUAUGAAUGGAUUUAGCCAGGCAAUUAAAUAGGAAAGCAGAUACUCAAGACAGAUUAAAACAGCUUGAGAGAAGUGAAAUGAGCAAGUGUAAGACAAUUGAUACUGUCCAUGGAUUUUAGAAAGUGUGAAGUGGAGUGAUUGUGAUGAAGCUUGAAAGAUUGCCUGGGGCCAGGCUGUUGAAGGCUUGGUUUGCUUAGAUAAGUCAAAUGCAGUAGACAAUGGAUAGUCAUCACAGAUUUUUGUACAUGGGACUUCACAUACAUUAAUUGAAUAUCCAUCAUGUACAAAAUAUUGCUCAAGCAAUGUAGGGAUCAAGGGAAUAAAAGCUUAUUCUGAUAUUAUAGAGCAUAUAACAGCCAUGUAAAUAUGCAUGGUAUAGAGAAAUCAGUUCUAUGAUGGAUGUACCAGCAAAGUUGCAGAGCAUUAUAUAGAGUUGCUUUUGAUAUGAGCCCUAGAAUAAAUUGGGAUAGAGAGGGAGUUGGGGGGAAUUUGAGAUAGUUUUUCAAAGAAAAUAAAAUAUGGGGACAAAAACAAUAGAUAACAAUCAGUGAUAAGCUAUAUUUUGAGUUUUAAAAUUGUUUUUACAAUUACCCCUGUUUUGAGUAUAUAUCUUGUCAAAUCAUUCUAAUAAAUAUUUGCUGAUAACUGUGUGGAAUACAUAAAUAAAUGGUAGGUAGAAAUUUGGAAGAAUCACUACAUAUUUUCAGUUAUCAUUCUCUGUGUAAAUUCAUGCUUUAAAAAUAUGAGAAGAUAAAGUGCCUUGGAUAUUAUUUUAUUUUCUAUAUUUUGUCCCAUAUUGUAUUGUCUAAUUUUCAUUGAAACCACAUAACAUGCUUGAAUAGGCAUGUGGUAACUUCUCA